ensembl:snoRNA
AGCGUGGUUGAUGAAAACAUGACCUUAGGUAUGUCUUUUUGAACCGUCUUGGUUCAAAGCUCUAGACUUACCAAUGUUAGGACUGGUCAUAGUUACGCUGACACGCU